rnacentral:rRNA from 1 species
AUUGAACGCUGGCGGCAGGCCUAACACAUGCAAGUCGAACGGUAACAGGAAGAAGCUUGCUUCUUUGCUGACGAGUGGCGGACGGGUGAGUAAUGUCUGGGAAACUGCCUGAUGGAGGGGGAUAACUACUGGAAACGGUAGCUAAUACCGCAUAACGUCGCAAGACCAAAGAGGGGGACCUUCGGGCCUCUUGCCAUCGGAUGUGCCCAGAUGGGAUUAGCUAGUAGGUGGGGUAACGGCUCACCUAGGCGACGAUCCCUAGCUGGUCUGAGAGGAUGACCAGCCACACUGGAACUGAGACACGGUCCAGACGCCUACGGGAGGCAGCAGUGGGGAAUAUUGCACAAUGGGCGCAAGCCUGAUGCAGCCAUGCCGCGUGUAUGAAGAAGGCCUUCGGGUUGUAAAGUACUUUCAGAGGGGAGGAAGGGAGUAAAGUUAAUACCUUUGCUCAUUGACGUUACCCGCAGAAGAAGCACCGGCUAACUCCGUG